rnacentral:rRNA from 1 species
ACCAACCCGAUGCAAACUGCGAAUACCGGAGAAUGUUAUCACGGGAGACACACGGCGGGUGCUAACGUCCGUCGUGAAGAGGGAAACAACCCAGACCGCCAGCUAAGGUCCCAAAGUCAUGGUUAAGUGGGAAACGAUGUGGGAAGGCCCAGACAGCCAGGAUGUUGGCUUAGAAGCAGCCAUCAUUUAAAGAAAGCGUAAUAGCUCACUGGUCGAGUCGGCCUGCGCGGAAGAUGUAACGGGGCUAAACCAUGCACCGAAGCUGCGGCAGCGACGCUGAUGCGUUGUUGGGUAGGGGAGCGUUCUGUAAGCCUGCGAAGGUGACCUGUGAGGGUUGCUGGAGGUAUCAGAAGUGCGAAUGCUGACAUAAGUAACGAUAAAGCGGGUGAAAAGCCCGCUCGCCGGAAGACCAAGGGUUCCUGUCCAACGUUAAUCGGGGCAGGGUGAGUCGACCCCUAAGGCGAGGCCGAAAGGCGUAGUCGAUGGGAAACGGGUUAAUAUUCCCGUACUUGGUGUUACUGCGAAGGGGGGACGGAGAAGGCUAUGUUGGCCGGGCGACGGUUGUCCCGGUUUAAGCGUGUAGGUGUGUGUUCCAGGUAAAUCCGGUUCACUUUAACACUGAGGCGUGACGACGAGGCACUACGGUGCUGAAGCAACAAAUGCCCUGCUUCCAGGAAAAGCCUCUAAGCAUCAGGUAACACGAAAUCGUACCCCAAACCGACACAGGUGGUCAGGUAGAGAAUACCAAGGCGCUUGAGAGAACUCGGGUGAAGGAACUAGGCAAAAUGGUGCCGUAACUUCGGGAGAAGGCACGCUGACACGUAGGUGAAGUGAUUUACUCAUGGAGCUGAAGUCAGUCGAAGAUACCAGCUGGCUGCAACUGUUUAUUAAAAACACAGCACUGUGCAAACACGAAAGUGGACGUAUACGGUGUGACGCCUGCCCGGUGCCGGAAGGUUAAUUGAUGGGGUCAGCGCAAGCGAAGCUCCUGAUCGAAGCCCCGGUAAACGGCGGCCGUAACUAUAACGGUCCUAAGGUAGCGAAAUUCCUUGUCGGGUAAGUUCCGACCUGCACGAAUGGCGUAAUGAUGGCCAGGCUGUCUCCACCCGAGACU